GAUGAACGCUGGCGGCGUGCCUAAUACAUGCAAGUCGAGCGAACAGAUGAGGAGCUUGCUCCUCUGACGUGAGCGGCGGACGGGUGAGUAACACGUGGAUAACCUACCUAUAAGACUGGGAUAACUUCGGGAAACCGGAGCUAAUACCGGAUAAUAUAUUGAAGCGCAUGGUUCAAUAGUGAAAGACGGCUUUGCUGUCACUUAUAGAUGGAUCGCCGCCGCAUUAGCUAGUUGGUAAGGUAACGGGCUACCAAGGCAACGAUGCGUAGGCGACGUGAGGGGGGGGUCGGCCCCCCUGGAGCGGGACCACGGUCCAGGCUACUACGGGAGGCAGCAGUAGGGAAUCGUCCGCAAUAGGCGAAAGCCUGACGGAGCAACGCCGCGUGAGUGAUGAAGGUCUUGGGAUCGUAAAACUCUGUUAUUAGGGAAGAACAAAUGUGUAAGUAACUAUGCACGUCUUGACGGUACCUAAUCAGAAAGCCACGGCUAACUACGUG
rnacentral:rRNA from 1 species